rnacentral:rRNA from 1 species
CAGUCGCCACGGUAAUACGUAGGUGGCAAGCGUUGUCCGGAAUUAUUGGGCGUAAAGCGCGCGCAGGCGGAUAGGUCAGUCUGUCUUAAAAGUUCGGGGCUUAACCCCGUGAUGGGAUGGAAACUGCCAAUCUAGAGUAUCGGAGAGGAAAGUGGAAUUCCUAGUGUAGCGGUGAAAUGCGUAGAUAUUAGGAAGAACACCAGUGGCGAAGGCGACUUUCUGGACGAAAACUGACGCUGAGGCGCGAAAGCCAGGGGAGCGAACGGGAUUAGAUACCCCUGUAGUCCCUGUCUCUUAUACA